AAAAAAAAAAAAAAAAAGGCUGUUAAAAUGAGUUGGAAAGCAACCAUUUUAAUCUUUUUCAUGAUGUUAAAUUUCUGGGGAUUUCUCAUGAGUUGCAAUGCAAGAAUUAUUGAUGAGAAUUAUCGCUCAGUUGAUAGCAAAACUCUGUUUCAUAAGCUGGGCUAUGAUGUCGCUGAAUACCAGAAGAAGAAUGCCCGAUUGUUGAGAGAAGCACCGGGCGGACCUGAUCCUCAUCACCAUGCCACCCCACCACAGCCACCAACCAUAUGAUAGAUGUCUUUGAUGUAUGUAUAAAGUAUUCAAGGCUGCAGGCAUAUGUUUGAUCUUUAGAUCCCUUGUAAUAUUAAUACUUAGUGGAACUGAAAUUCCCAAUUCAAUAAAAAAAAAAGAGAAAAAAAUCUAUGAGAUGACUAAUUAGAUCAAUCCAUGAAGCCUUCAGAUCAUUUCAAAUAUAUGUUGAGAAUCGAAGUCAAGAAAUUUUGAACUAACUAUAGGUUUGAUGGUGCGCAAUAUUAGCUAAACAUGAUUAUAAGUUUCUCAAAUCUAGACAACUAGGCAUAAAAACUACUCUCUUUUUCUUUUUCUUUUUUUUGGUUCAAGAGGAUACUUCAAACCUUACAAAGGAGGAAAGGGAAGUGGCACUUUAAUUUUGCAAAACGAAGAUCUUUAUUACCUACAGGGCAUCUGGUGUCUCCAAUUGGAUGGUUUGGAAUUCCUGCGUUCCUCAAUUCUGUGUCCAAGUUAUGCCAAAUAUAACGGGGAUUAUGGAGAAAACAAAAUUUUUAUGCUAUAAUGGAAAAGAAAAUUUAAGGAAGCAAAAUGAGCACCCAAUUUUACCCAGUACUAAUUGAGCUAUUGAACAAUAAAAGUAGAGACCAAAUUAAGAGAUUUAUAUAGAUUAAAGCCCAAAAGCGCAAGCAAAAUGUCAUGUGAAGCAACAGUAAUAAACUCUGUACAUGAACCAUGGUUCUUCAAUGAAAGUCACAGGCCUAUGUAUCUUUUGAGAGAUAGUUCUUUGUUUCCAAUAUUUUAUCAUCAAGUUAAGUACGUGCAAAUAUGAUCUAUGCAAACGGGUUAAGAUAUCCCAUGUAUGAUCUGAUCUAGAACUCCAUACUAGUGUCAAUUGUUGCAUGUUUGCCGUUGAAUUUUCUUAAAGAUCUGCAUAAAUGGCCUCUUACAAACUAUUAGAUUAGGACUCUGAAAUUCUAUUAAAGUAAUUUAAUUAAGGGUAAAUUACUUAUAAUCUCCUGCGAUUUUACAUAAUGUCAGAUGACCCCCUAUGGUUUCAAAAUAGCCACAUAUCCUCUCUAUGGUUUUUUGUAAAGUAGAAAAUGGAUGGAAUGCACAAUCACUUACACUGUUUAUACCAAACGCGCUCUAAAAGCACGUGUGGUAAAAUUUUAAUCUGCAUGUAAUUCCUUCAUGGUUUGUAUAAAUAUCCACUUUACUCUAUUUUGAAUUUUGCAUUUAUCCAUGUAAUCCCCUUAUACUUUUAUAAAAAAUAGUUGAUUGUCAAUAGAUUUGGCGUUUAAAUAAGGGUACUAUUGAUAUUUUAAUUAACGACAUUACAUAGGUUAUUUUCUAUCAACUUUUCACUUUAUAUAAAAUCAUAAGUGAGUGAAAUGGAUAUUUUGAAAUAUUAGAGGGGCCAUGUAGCAAUAAACGAAACCAUAGAGAGCGUUAUAUGUUAUUUACCCUGUAAUUGAUGGCCAUGACUACGUCGAAGUUGGAUGCUUCAAAAUAUAAGACACGAUAAUAGUCGUUAACAAGUUUCUGUUUGAUCAAUUUUUCCCCUUUGCUCACUCAUGUUCUUGGUUUUUUUUUCUUCUCAAAUUUGAUGAAAAUAAAGGUGAAGCAAUAUCUUUGUGAGUUAGAACGCCACCUUGCAAAUCCUAUAGGCAGGUUUUUUGUUUUUUCAAUUUAAAAAGUUAUUCUAAAUCUUACAAUGAUGAUAAUAAAAAAAAAUUGAAAAGUUCAAAUAAAGUCCUCACGAUCGUUGCAAAUCAUAUAUAUAUAUAUAAAGGAGUUGUUGCUUGAAUGUUGGAUAAUUUUCAUUUGCCCUUUUCGAGGGUCAAGUUAGGUAAUGCAGCACGAGUGUACAAGUCAUUAACGGUAUAGUACUAGCAUUGUAUGUUCAUUGGUGUGUGCAUUACCCACUUUACCCUUAGUGGGUUGAUGCUUACACUUCCGAUGUGUAGCUAUUCAGCUGUUGUUUCAGCUUUGCGCUUCUAAGUAGCCAUUACCAUUGAUUUGUAAUUGCUGCUAAUCAUCAUGCAAGUCAUUGAGUUUCUGCAAAGAGAUCUAGGGGUUACAUUGAAUAAUUGGAGCAUCAUCACGCGCACAUGAAUGCAUUGAGAAAAACAUUAACUCAAUCCUUUAUAGUGGAAGUGUAACUGCUGGCUUUUUCUCUUCUAAAUUUUUCACAAAAUGAAUUCAGCAGAUGUAAAGAGUUGGAUCAUUAGAGUGAGCAAUUAUGGUUUCUUUAUUACAAUAGUAAUGGAUGGAAGAUGAGGGACCUGUUGGAAACGUCUGAAUAGAAACUGAAAGAUUUUUGCUUUUCUGAAGCAUUUGUUAAGUAGUUUUUUUUAACAACCCGAAUAAUGAAGGACAUUAACACAGAGUACGGUUGCAUGAGUUGCUUAAACUCUAUAUUACCAAGGUGGUCCUUGAAGAGGCAAGGUUUCUUGCACUAUGUUUUUCAGGUAGAUACUAUCUCUGUAUAUAUCGAAUUCCUGAAUGAAACAGUGACAAUAUUGUGCAGUUUAAAAUUGGUAAUUAUAUUUGUAACUGUAUUAUUGAAUUUUCAUGUUUGCCAGCAACUGAGGUACACCUGUGAGGCAAGGGAUUUGUCCAGCAGCAGCUUUCUGAUCAAGGUACUUCCUAAAACAAUUGUUCCAGUUAAUUAAUGCAUUAUUGGUGUUCAUGCGUUUGCUGUACUAGAAUUACAAUUGUGUUCAGCAACUGUUUUAUGCAAUUUAGACUUGCUAAUUAGUCUUAUAUUGUCCUUUUCAACUUAUCUGCAAGCCUAUAUGUCAGUUAAAUUGCAGUAGUUAUGGUAGGGGAAACAUAAAUAGGCACUAAUUAACAAAAGCACACCAAACAUUCCUAAAUAUCUAAGCAUGUGAUAGUUUUAUGGCUAGGGGCUCCUGUUUGUUGAUUAUUUGAGGAGAAAUAAGUUACAAUUUGAAAUAGUUCAAUCUUAGAAUAAAGGAUUUACAAAUAGUUGUAUGAUUUUCUUUCUAAUCAUUACAAUUGAAAGGACAAAAGUGAUUCAAUUUUUUUUUUAUAAAUGUUUUCACAGUAAAUUUUGUAAAAAUUCUUACUGACUUAUGAUUAUGUGAUUAAAUGACCAUUUGGUUACUUUUACAUUUCUCCACUUAAACAAAUUAGUGUUUUUUAUUCUAUUUGUACAUUUAAAAAUCACUACACUUUUUCAUUUUCUUAUGAUAUUGAUAGUAUUUUUUACUUUCUUAAUCUCCUGAUACAUCACAAAUUAUAACAUUGGUACUCACUCCUGCGCAUUGCACAGUCUUUUCCCCUAGUUGACUCAUAUAUCUACCAGUUAAUUAGUGAUUUUGGGAAUGUAGGCAUAAUCUCUAGUUCCUAUCCUGGAUUUUGGAAACAAUAAUGGCUCCAAGACAAGUCUCGAUUUUCUUCAACAGGAGAAUCCAAGGGAAGACCCAAUUAUACCGAAGAAAUGCACUUACACUCCUAGUUUGAAUCCUGAAUCGAUAACCAAGAAGGCAAUUCGCGAUCUAGCCAUCUUUGACAAGUUGAUUAUUGUCGGUUCUUAUUACUCUGCAAUCCAAUUACACUAAAGGAAUGCACUAACACUCGUGGUUUGAACCCUCUAUCUAUAAUCAAGAAUGCAAGUUAUGGCCAACUUAUAUUUGACAAGUUGAUUAUCGUGAUUCUCAUUACUCCGCAGGAACUUUUACGGCUCUAUACUUUCGAAGCGAAAGGGACACUAAGAGCUAGUUUUAAGCUUCUUUUGCAUUGUUUUUCUAUUUGUCAGUAAUCUUCAUCUCUUUUAUAAAUCAAAAACAUAUAUAAACGUGGAGGAAUUGGUGUGCAUGGUCAAUAUAUCAUGUGACAUGCUAAUUUUAAGAUAUCUAGGGUCGACCUUUAUUUAAGAUUUUGGUUAAUCAUAGGUAAUACCUUCUAAGGUUUAGUGUAUUUCAUUUAAACCGUUUGGUUAUUUAAACUCAUAAAAGGAAUUGUAACCCUGUUUUAGGUUAUUUGUCAGCUUACCCUUGGUAUUAGUUUUUAGGCAAUGCACCUCUUCAUUGAUAAUAAGGUAAUUGUGAUAUUAAAACAGCUAAAAUACAAAGGUGUACCCGCAUCAUUAUAAUUUCUUUUUUUUUUUUCUUUUAAAUACCUUAGUCCACGUUAAAGCAUAUGCUAUAUUGAAAAGAAAAAUACGAAAGUUAACACAUGUCAAACUUUUCUUUUAAUUUAUAGUGUUUAAAGUUAAAAGCGCCGUUGCCGUAAUAGUAAUUCAAAGGUUUUGAGUGAUAAAAAAAAUAUAACAUAAGAGCCUAAAGCAUGCCUUUCAUUCUUAAUAAAUUUCGAAUUUCAAUGUAGUAAAAGUUCUGUACAGUGGCUUGGAUAAGUUAUUUGGAUAUUUUUAACACACAACACAAAAUAAUUCUCCUUAACGAGAUUCCAUCUGUUUUACAUUUUAAUGGAAGAAAUCAGUGCAUUGAGUUUUUUAGGUCCCACCAUCCUUGUACAAUACAUAUUUUCUUGGAAAACAUGAGAAUAAUGGAUGAAGACAUUUUAACCUAGACAGUAUACGUGUCAUAUUCAUUCCCUAAAUUUAGUUGUGUACAUGUAAAAUAAAGGAUUUAUCUAAUGGGUGCUCAAUGGGCACUCGUUAAAAUAUAUUUCAGAUAUUAAAUUUUUAGAAAUGUAAGACUAAUUAGGAAAAAUAUAGGAAAAAUCGUCCAAAACGUCCCUCACAUUUUGUAAAAUAACUUUUUUCGUCUCUCACUUUUAAAAGUGUAAUUUUAUGUCCUUUACAUAUUCAUAUCGGUCAAAUUUAGUCCCUAACUAGAUUUCCAAUCAUUUUUUGGCCGGAAUCUAUCAUGUGCAAGGCACGUGAUCAUUUUUGAAGGGUAAAUUUAUCAAAUUAUAUUUUACAUAAUCUGAUCUAUAGUCCUCCACAUUUUAUAAAAUAAAUUUUUCGUCCCUCACAUUUUAUAAAAUGAUUUUUUUUUCAUCCCUCACAUUUCACAAAAUGAAUUUCUCCAUCCCUCACAUUUCAAAAAAUGAAAUUUUCAUUUCUCACUAAUUAUGUGUGUGAAUACAUUUUUUUUAAACACAUGUAUAUGUCUAUUUGAUUUUGCUUAAUAAUAAUAGCAUAAACACAUGUAUGUAAUUGGGCCCAACUUGUGGACUAUCUUCUCUUCUUGUAUGAUUAUGACUAAUAUUUACCAAUAGAACCUUAAUUUGCAUAUUCUUAUUGUAUUUUGACCGAAAAUAGUUUUAUUGGCCAACUUGACAAUGAAUGCAAGAUUUUUUACUAGCUAAUACCAGAUGAAAUCAAAUGAUCACGUAUAAUAUAUGGUAUUCGUAUUGUUAAGUGAAAUCAAAUAGACACAUACAUAUAUUUAUGCUAUUCGUAUUAUUAAGCAAAAUCAAAUAGAUAUAUACAUGUGUUUAAACAAAAUGUAUUCACACACUUUUUUUUUAGGGUUUCCCUCACACACAUAAUUAGUGAGGGUUGGAAAUAUUCAUUUAUUGAAAUGUGAGGGAUGGAGAAAUUUAUUUUGUGAAAUGUGAGGGAUGAAAAAAAUCAUUUUAUAAAAUGUGAAGGACGAAAAAUUUGUUUUAUAAAAUGUGGAGAACUAUAGAUUAGAUUAUGUAAAAUAUAAUUUGACAAAUUUACCCUUCAAAAAUGAUCACGUGCCUUGCACGUGAUGGAUUCCGGCAAAAAAAUGAUCGGAAAUCUAGUUAGGGACUAAAUUUGAUCGAUGUGAAUAUGUAAGGGACAUAAAAUUACAUUUUUGAAAGCGAGGAACGAAAAAAGUCAUUUUACAAAAUAUGAGGAACAUUUUGGACGAUUUUCCCAAAAAUAUAUGAAUGUAAAGAAAAGUAAUAAUCGUUAGUAUGUACAUGGUAGUAAUAAUUAUUAGUACGUACAGACAUGAUAGGAUGUGGAAUUUAAGUGUGUUAAUAAAAAACGUUAAAAAAUAAUUUACCAGCCUUUAUUUUUUUUCCAUGUAAGUGAAAAUGACAAUUCAAAUGUACAUGGCCAUAUAUUGUAAGAAGGUAAGUGACACGUUAUUAUCUUCCGUAAAAGGUAUAAAAUCUUGUGUAGAUGAAAUUGACAUCCAGUCCACUAAAUCUUGUUACUCAAUGUCACUAAACAGGACAAUCCGCUUUUCCAUUUUGGCUAAGACUCAUCAAUUCGGCAUUAAAUAUGAAUCAACAAUAAAUCAAGAAAUGACCCCUAUAUAAAGGACCGCUACCAACCUCACAUCACUGCACAAUAGUUGAUAGUUGACUCUUGAUAGGUAAAGCAAGAAAAAUGGCUGUUAAAAUGAGUUGGAAAGCAACCAUUUUGAUCUUUUUCAUGAUGUUAAAUUUCUGGGGAUUUCUCAUGAGUUGCAAUGCAAGAAUUAUUGUUGAGAAUAAUCGCUCAGUUGAUAGCAAAUCUCUGUUUCAUAAGCUGGGCUAUGAUGUCGCUGAAUACCAGAAGAAGAAUGCCCGAUUGUUGAGACAAGCACCGGGCGGACCUGAUCCUCAUCACCAUGCCACCCCACCACAGCCACCAACCAUAUGAUAGAUGUCUUUGAUGUAUGUAUAAAGUAUUCAAGGCUGCAGGCAUAUGUUUGAUCUUUAGAUCGCUUGUAAUAGUAAUACUUAGUGGAACUGAAAUUUCCAAUUCAAUAAAAAAAAAAAAGAGAAAAAAAAUCUAUGAGAUGACUAAUUAGAUCAA
rnacentral:lncRNA from 1 species